AGUGAACGCUGGCGGUAGGCCUAACACAUGCAAGUCGAACGGCAGCACAGUAAGAGCUUGCUCUUACGGGUGGCGAGUGGCGGACGGGUGAGGAAUACAUCGGAAUCUACUUUUUCGUGGGGGAUAACGUAGGGAAACUUACGCUAAUACCGCAUACGACCUACGGGUGAAAGCAGGGGAUCUUCGGACCUUGCGCGAUUGAAUGAGCCGAUGUCGGAUUGGCUAGUUGGCGGGGUAAAGGCCCACCAAGGCGACGAUCCGUAGCUGGUCUGAGAGGAUGAUCAGCCACACUGGAACUGAGACACGGUCCAGACUCCUACGGGAGGCAGCAGUGGGGAAUAUUGGACAAUGGGCGCAAGCCUGAUCCAGCCAUACCGCGUGGGUGAAGAAGGCCUUCGGGUUGUAAAGCCCUUUUGUUGGGAAAGAGAAGCAGCAGGUUAAUACCCCGCUGUUCUGACGGUACCCAAAGAAUAAGCACCGGCUAACUUCGUG
rnacentral:rRNA from 1 species